rnacentral:rRNA from 3 species
UUUAUGGAGAGUUUGAUCCUGGCUCAGGAUGAACGCUGGCGGCGUGCCUAAUACAUGCAAGUCGAGCGAACGGACGAGAAGCUUGCUUCUCUGAUGUUAGCGGCGGACGGGUGAGUAACACGUGGAUAACCUACCUAUAAGACUGGGAUAACUUCGGGAAACCGGAGCUAAUACCGGAUAAUAUUUUGAACCGCAUGGUUCAAAAGUGAAAGACGGUCUUGCUGUCACUUAUAGAUGGAUCCGCGCUGCAUUAGCUAGUUGGUAAGGUAACGGCUUACCAAGGCAACGAUGCAUAGCCGACCUGAGAGGGUGAUCGGCCACACUGGAACUGAGACACGGUCCAGACUCCUACGGGAGGCAGCAGUAGGGAAUCUUCCGCAAUGGGCGAAAGCCUGACGGAGCAACGCCGCGUGAGUGAUGAAGGUCUUCGGAUCGUAAAACUCUGUUAUUAGGGAAGAACAUAUGUGUAAGUAACUGUGCACAUCUUGACGGUACCUAAUCAGAAAGCCACGGCUAACUACGUGCCAGCAGCCGCGGUAAUACGUAGGUGGCAAGCGUUAUCCGGAAUUAUUGGGCGUAAAGCGCGCGUAGGCGGUUUUUUAAGUCUGAUGUGAAAGCCCACGGCUCAACCGUGGAGGGUCAUUGGAAACUGGAAAACUUGAGUGCAGAAGAGGAAAGUGGAAUUCCAUGUGUAGCGGUGAAAUGCGCAGAGAUAUGGAGGAACACCAGUGGCGAAGGCGACUUUCUGGUCUGUAACUGACGCUGAUGUGCGAAAGCGUGGGGAUCAAACAGGAUUAGAUACCCUGGUAGUCCACGCCGUAAACGAUGAGUGCUAAGUGUUAGGGGUUUCCGCCCCUUAGUGCUGCAGCUAACGCAUUAAGCACUCCGCCUGGGGAGUACGACCGCAAGGUUGAAACUCAAAGGAAUUGACGGGGACCCGCACAAGCGGUGGAGCAUGUGGUUUAAUUCGAAGCAACGCGAAGAACCUUACCAAAUCUUGACAUCCUUUGACAACUCUAGAGAUAGAGCUUUCCCCUUCGGGGGACAAAGUGACAGGUGGUGCAUGGUUGUCGUCAGCUCGUGUCGUGAGAUGUUGGGUUAAGUCCCGCAACGAGCGCAACCCUUAAGCUUAGUUGCCAUCAUUAAGUUGGGCACUCUAAGUUGACUGCCGGUGACAAACCGGAGGAAGGUGGGGAUGACGUCAAAUCAUCAUGCCCCUUAUGAUUUGGGCUACACACGUGCUACAAUGGACAAUACAAAGGGCAGCGAAACCGCGAGGUCAAGCAAAUCCCAUAAAGUUGUUCUCAGUUCGGAUUGUAGUCUGCAACUCGACUACAUGAAGCUGGAAUCGCUAGUAAUCGUAGAUCAGCAUGCUACGGUGAAUACGUUCCCGGGUCUUGUACACACCGCCCGUCACACCACGAGAGUUUGUAACACCCGAAGCCGGUGGAGUAACCUUUUAGGAGCUAGCCGUCGAAGGUGGGACAAAUGAUUGGGGUGAAGUCGUAACAAGGUAGCCGUAUCGGAAGGUGCGGCUGGAUCACCUCCUUU